GACGAAGGUGGCGAGCGUUACUCGGAAUUACUAGGCGUAAAGCGUGGGUAGGCGGUUCGGCAAGUCUGUUGUGAAAGCUCCCGGCUCAACUGGGAGAGGCCAAUGGAUACUACCGGACUUGAAUGUGGGAGAGGUCACUGGAAUUCCCGGUGUAGCGGUGAAAUGCGUAGAGAUCGGGAGGAACACCGAUGGCGAAAGCAGGUGACUGGACCACUAUUGACGCUGAGCCACGAAAGCUAGGGGAGCAAACAGG
rnacentral:rRNA from 1 species